UUUUAUUUUGAGUUAUAAAUUUUUCAUAUAAAGCUUUGUGCUUUAGUUUCUUUCUUUUUAGUUAAGGUGUUAUUGAGUUAUAUUAGCCUACCAAGGUGGCCUCUUUGUCGGCUAUCGUGUCAUAGUGAGUUCUUAACCUCGCCACCAUUGGCACAUCUCCGACAUUCUGACGUGAGCUUGGUAUCAGAGCCUCUUGCUCAGGUACGAUGACGACAAACGAUGGAAACUGUGCUGGAAAUGAUUGGAAUUCGUAGCAUAUGUCGAUUGGCUGAGGUGACGAGUCGAAGACCGCAAAGGACGAACUAAAAGGAGAGCUAAUCAACUGAAGGGACCUCGCUUUCCUUCCGCAUCGCGGAAGGAUCGCGAGAAGCUUCAGAACUUCAGGCUAUCGAUCCACAUCGCGUGAAGAAAGCGGAACAACCAAACUCAGUCAUCAGAUUCCGCGAUCGAUCCGCAUCGCGGGCUAAAGGCGAGAAGCUGCAGAACAUCGCGCGAUCCUUCCGCGAUGCGGAAGGAAAGCGGGACUCUGCGGAUGUUUUCCCGAUUAGACUAGGAUUUGGACUCCUUAUUUAUUAUUUUUACCCUAGCCUAUAUAUACACGUUUUUAUAGCUGAGAACGAUAUUCUGGGAUUUUUGAAGGAUUUGUAAGCCACCGUUCUCCUUUCUCUCUCUCUAGGUUAUUUUAUUUUUCAUCUUUUUCAACCCUAGUUUAUUCAUGGCUUCUUUUGUCUAUGAUCGAAUCAUGAGUAGCUAAAUCUCCUAGUUCUAGGGUUGUGGCGAAAGACUUGAAAGUUGAUGUGAUGACAAUUAUUAUCUAUUGAUUUUCCAUAUUGUGGGUUGCUUAUUUA